CACUGACAUGGAAAGUUGACGAUUCAAUGGACAACAGUCAAUACGCUUCCCAACACAUUAUUAAUUGUUAGCAAGUGAUUACUGUGGCGGCUAUUGUUAACACUGGUAUUGAUAACAUUUGCAAGCGAUUGUUUUUUAAUAUGUUAUGUGAAUGUAAACUGCCAGAAGAAUACGACAACAAACGACAACAUGAUUUUAUGCGAUCUCUGUGGGCAAUGGUUCCACUUUAGAUGUGUAGCCUCAAAGUACCUCAAAUGUGCGGUUAUGCAGACUGUGCACACCAACAACUGCUAAGAAGCCUAAAAUGUGUAUGUAAUUUUGUC